rnacentral:rRNA from 1 species
CCUACGGGAGGCAGCAGUGGGGAAUAUUGCACAAUGGGGGAAACCCUGAUGCAGCGACGCCGCGUGAGUGAAGAAGUAAUUCGUUAUGUAAAGCUCUAUCAGCAGGGAAGAAAAUGACGGUACCUGAGUAAGACGCCCCGUCUAAAUACGUGCCAGCAGCCGCGGGAAUACGUAGGUGGCAAGCGUUAUACGGAUUUACUGGGUGUAAAGGGCGUGUAGGCGGGACUGCAAGUCAGAUGUGAAAACCACGGGCUCAACCUGUGGCCUGCAGUUGAAACUGGAGGUCUUGAGUACUGGGGGGGCAGACGGAAUUCCUAGUGUAGCGGUGAAAUGCGUAGAUAUUAUGAGGAACACCAGUGGCGAAGGCGAGCUGCUGGACAGCAACUGACGCUGAGGCGCGAAAGCGUGGGGAGCAAACAGGAUUAGGUACCCUUGUAGUC